CGUGUCCACCUCCUCAGCUCCCACGCCAGGGCUGUGCCUCGCCUCUUCCCACUCUCCCACAGCCUCCCUGCCCAACGGGAUUCCAGAGACUGGGAGGAAAAAGCUUCAACUUCUGGCUGCUGUGGGAGGCUCGUUCCCGAGAAGAAAAAUGACCUCUGGUUGCAGUUCGCAUGGGACAUCUCCCCAGCUAGGCUGGGAGCUCGCUGAGGGCAGGACCUUGGCCCCUGAGAUCAAAGCCCUGGAAACCUUUCAAUCCAGCCUCUCAGGAAGAAAUAAAUCACAGAGCAAUGGUGUAAGAGGAUGCUGACCUCUGGGCUUUGAUUGAGAAGUAAUGUGAGACAGGACCUCUCACACUGGCUUGGAACCCUUCCUGCCUCAGUUUGCUCUGAGUGUUAGUGGCCUACACAAAGAUCUUAAACCCCACCAUUCACAUCUCUGAAUCUCCCACAGCAUCUAGCAGAACACAGUAAAAAGUAC
rnacentral:lncRNA from 1 species